UUGUCUCAAAGACACCUUUGCAAGUCUAAGUAUAGGCCUUUAUACGAGCGAAACUGCGAAUGGCUCAUUAAAACAGUUAUAGUUUAUAUGAUGGUCUUUUCUACAUGGAUAACCAUGGUAAUUCUAUGGCUAAUACAUGCGCAAUCGCCUCCUUCUCUGGAGGGGCUGUGUUUAUUAAAUACAAAACCAACCCACGCAAGUGGAGUCCUGGUGAAUCAUAGUAACCGAACGGAUCUCAAUUGGCCUCCGGGCCGCGCGACAUAUCAUUCAAUUUUCUGACCUAUCACCUUUCGACGGUAGGGUAUUGGCCUACCGUGGCAUUGACGGGUAACGGGGAAUUAGGGUUCCAUUCCGGAGAGGGAGCCUGAAAAACGGCUACACCUUCUAAGGAAGCAGCAGGCGCGCAAAUUACCCAAUGAAAACAGUUUCGAGGUAGUGACGAGAAAUAACAAUACGGGGCAUUAUAUGCUUUGUAAUUGGAAUGAUGGGAAUGUAAAACCCUCUCAGAGUAACAAUUGGAGGGCAAGUCUGGUGCCAGCAGCCGCGGUAAUUCCAGCUCCAAUAGUGUAUAUUAGAGUUGUUGCAGUUAAAAAGCUCGUAGUUGGAUUUCUGCCGUGAUCGUCCGGCACCACCCCUAGGGGUGAUGUUAGGAUGGAUUGUGGCAUAAUUCCAGUAGCUCGUUGCCCGCUUAAUUGCGUGGCAAGGGGUGUUCUGGAACUUUUACUUUGAGAAAAAUAGAGUGUUUCAAGCAGGCUUGUCGCCCUGAAUACUGCACCAUGGAAUAAUAAGAUAGGACCCUGGUUCUAUUUUGUUGGCUUCUGGGACCGACGUAAUGAUUAAUAGGGACAGUUGCGCGCGCGCCUUCGUCUUUAACUGUCACAGAGGUGAAAUCUCUUACAUUCUGUUAAAGACGAAUACUGUGAAAGCAUUUGCCAAGGGAUGUUUUCAUUAAUCAAGAACGACAGUAGGGGGUUUGAAAGACGAUUAGAUACCGUCGUAAUCUCUACCAUAAACUAUGCCGACUAGAGAUAGGGAAACGCCUACCUUGGCUUCUCCUGCAUCUCAUGAGAAAUCAAAGUCUCUGGGUUCUGGGGGGAGUAUGGUCGCAAGGCUGAAACUUAAAGGAAUUGACGGAAGGGCACCACCUGGCGUGGAGCCUGCGGCUUAAUUUGACUCAACUCCGGGGAAACUCUCCCUGUCCAUACCUGGGAACGAUUGACAGAUUGAUAGCUCUUUCUUGAUUCUCAGGGUGGUGGUGCAUGGCCGUUCUUACUUGGUGGAUGACUGUCUGGUUAAUUUCGAUAACGAACGAGACUUAGCCUGCUAAAUAGGAUCUGGAACGUUAUAGUUCCAGCAUCACUUCUUAGAGGGACUUUGCGUGUCUAACGCAAGGAAGUUUGAGGCAAUAACAGGUCUGUGAUGCCCUUAGAUGUUCUGGGCUGCACGCGCGCUACACUGAUGCACUCAACGAGUUUAUAACCUUGGCCGGCAGGUCUAGGUAAUCUUUUGAGUAUGCAUCGUGAUGGGGAUAGAUUAUUGCAAUUAUUAAUCUUCAACGAGGUAAUGCCUAGUAGGCGCAAGUCAGCAGCUUGCGCCGAUUACGUCCCUGCCCUUUGUACACACCGCCCGUCGCUGCAACCGAUCGGAGGGUCCUGUGAACUCGAUGGACUGAUCAGCAUUGCUCCGCUUUGCUGGUUGGAAACUUGCCUAAAUAGAGCCCUCUAAAGGAUGCUAAAGUCGCUAUAACACGGUUUCCGUAGGUGAACCCGCCGCGAACGAUC
rnacentral:rRNA from 1 species